GUAGUACUCCCUCCGUCUCAAAAUUCUUGUCUUAAAUUAGUCUAAAUACGGAUGUAUCUAAUACUAAAACCUGACUUGAUACAUCUGUAUUUAGACAAAUCUAAGACAAGAAUUUUAGGACGGAGGGAGUAUAUA
rfam:Triticum aestivum genome assembly, contig: Triticum_aestivum_CS42_TGACv1_scaffold_424989_5BS